CAAUAAGCGGAGGAAAAGAAACCAACAGGGAUUGCCUCAGUAACGGCGAGUGAAGCGGCAACAGCUCAAAUUUGAAAUCUGGCUCUUUUAGGGUCCGAGUUGUAAUUUGCAGAAGAUGCUUUGGGAAUGGUUCCGGUCUAAGUUCCUUGGAACAGGACGUCAUAGAGGGUGAGAAUCCCGUAUGUGACCGGGCCGCCUGCCCCGUGUAAAGCUCUUUCGACGAGUCGAGUUGUUUGGGAAUGCAGCUCAAAAUGGGUGGUAAAUUUCAUCUAAAGCUAAAUAUUGGCCAGAGACCGAUAGCGCACAAGUAGAGUGAUCGAAAGAUGAAAAGCACUUUGGAAAGAGAGUUAAACAGUACGUGAAAUUGUUGAAAGGGAAGCGCUUGCAACCAGACUUGCACGUAGUUAAUCAUCUGGUGUUCUCACCGGUGCACUUGGCUAUGUUCAGGCCAGCAUCGGUUCAGGUGGUGGGAUAAAGGCCUUGGGAAUGUAGCUUCUUUCGGGGAGUGUUAUAGCCCUCGGUGCAAUGCCGCCUACCUGGACCGAGGACCGCGCUUCGGCUAGGAUGCUGGCGUAAUGGUUGUAAGCGACCC
rnacentral:rRNA from 1 species